GGUGGUAAUGCCGGAUGUUCCACAUGAUCGCAUGUGAUUGUGGGAAAGAUUCUAUCGGCGUGGGAUGGGGUCGCGUCCUAUCAGCUUGUUGGUGAGGUAACGGCUCACCAAGGCUUCGACGGGUAGCCGGCCUGAGAGGGCGACCGGCCACAUUGGGACUGAGAUACGGCCCAGACUCCUACGGGAGGCAGCAGUGGGGAAUAUUGCACAAUGGGCGCAAGCCUGAUGCAGCGACGCCGCGUGAGGGAUGGAGGCCUUCGGGUUGUAAACCUCUUUUGUUUGGGAGCAAGCCUUCGGGUGAGUGUACCUUUCGAAUAAGCGCCGGCUAACUACGUGCCAGCAGCCGCGGUAAUACGUAGGGCGCAAGCGUUAUCCGGAUUUAUUGGGCGUAAAGGGCUCGUAGGCGGCUCGUCGCGUCCGGUGUGAAAGUCCAUCGCUUAACGGUGGAUCUGCGCCGGGUACGGGCGGGCUGGAGUGCGGUAGGGGAGACUGGAAUUCCCGGUGUAACGGUGGAAUGUGUAGAUAUCGGAAAAGAACACC
rnacentral:rRNA from 1 species